rfam:Tropilaelaps mercedesae isolate Wuxi-XJTLT scaffold0000005469, whole genome shotgun sequence.
GUAGGGUAUGGAGAUAUGGCUCCCAAGACCUACGCGGGAAUGUUCGUCGGAGCACUUUGCGCCCUGGCCGGAGUGCUAACCAUUGCGCUGCCCGUACCUGUUAUUGUAUCCAAU